UCGAUCCUAAGAGUCGGGGG
rnacentral:snRNA from 1 species